CACCCCCUACCCCUGCCCCAGGCUCUGAGGAGGCAGAAUCUGGAAAUGAACAGUAUAUAUAGUCCAUUGUAUUCUCCAUUCUCCUCCCAGGGUCAAUACACUGUGAUGCCCAGGCUGCCCCGGGGGGGGGGGAGGGGGGGUGCUUGGUGGGCAUGUCCAAACACUGCAGGAAUGUUGGGUCAUUUUCCAGCACAGUGAGGAAGGAUUGCCUUCCCCAGAAGAGUCACCCCACUGCUGCAACACGGCUAGGUGAGUCAGCUGGAACUCUCCAGGGUAUGUUAUGGUCCCUGACAUCAUUACUUCGUGGUGAGCAUGCUGGCUUUCGUAGCUACCAACUCAAAACCAGAGAUUUGGUAGCAUGGAUGUGCCCCAGUAAUAGUGGGAGCAGACAGCCGUGCCGUGGACUCUGUCAGUUCAGGUUCUCCUAAAUUGCCUUCUGGAGAAAUAACUUUUGUAGGAACUGAGUGGAAAGAAUUUUUUUUUUUUUUCUGUCUAGCCUGAAAGGCUGUGAUUAAAGAUGAAGGGAAAGAAAACUUAGAUUAAACUCUAUGGGUCUCAUUUUUCUAAGUCGUUUAUAAUCUAAGUAGGGAUAUUCCAGGGGUUUUAAUUUUAUGUUUCUGUACUUAACCCAAAGACUUGGGAAGUUUUUUUUAUUUUCUUCCAAAGGCCUCUGAGUCCUGUGAUAAAUAGUGUCUAAAACACAGAUUCUCGUUUGAGGCUAGGGGAUAUAGAAAGAAUAUAUAUUCUUUAACAGAAGCAUGAAAAAUAUUUUAGUGAGUGUUCUCAAAUCCUACCUACUGAAAUGCAUGUAGUAGGUAGAUACAGGAACGAGAGGAAGAAAAGACCUAGGUAUUCAUUUUUUUAAAUACAAAAAUUCCCGGAGAUGAGUUUAAGAUAUUUCUUUCGUGCUCCUUUUACCUCCGAACUACCACUUGGCAAACCUCGAUUGGGAGCCGCAGCGGGCAGCUGAGAUCUCAAGCUCCCCACAGGGCUCGCUGGGGCCAACGCCGACUCGUGCGCUCUGGGGUCUGGGUUCCCUCAGCACCACUCUGACCCAGGAUGAAGCCCCGAGCAGCGAUCCGGCCUGUGUCUGCUUAGGUUACUGUGUUUCAAAGAUCUAGUGUCCCGGAGGCACCGCCUUAGGGUCUCACAUUUAGUCCCUGCGGCUUGAUUUGUUCCCGUUUUUCUGGGGACUCACGCCUCCGGUCCUGGAAACAUUGGCUCGUGCUACUGAUUGAGAGAGGACGGGGCAUCACGGGUUCUCACCUGGCAUUCACAAGGGCUGGGGACGCUCUGGGCUUAUUUGAAAAGUUUGGAUUCUCUUGAGUGCUCUUCUGGAGAGCAAGUCCAUGACCACCGUCAGCUUUUCUCUGACGUCCCCUCUCGGUGGGGAGAGACGUCGCAGGGUGCCACACACACUCCUGAUCUACUGGGCGGGAAAUAGCUGUGUGUCACAUGUACGUGGACCCUGCCGUGGCAGCCGUGGCUGACUCCACUUUAAGCUGAGCUUCUCCCAGCCCCCUUCUCCCGUCUGCAGAGAGCCAUCCAAGGAUCCUCCGUGCGCCAACAUUUCUUGAUCAUCCACCGUGCGCAGGGUAUUUUAGGUGAAUGAUCUCGCUUAAUGCCCUCAGCAACCCCAAGGCAUUGGCUCUCGUUCUUCCCAUUACACACGUGAGAAAAUCGAGGCUCUGAAAGGAAGAGUGACUUGCGCACAGUCACACGGCGAUUAAAGCAGAAGCUGAGUCACCUGGGUCCAAAGCUUGUCUUCUCCAAACCACGCUGCCUCCCACGAAGAGAGGUGCGUACCCCUGAAGUUGUCGCCAGGCAGGAAAGCACUCCUCGCUGAACACUGAGGGGGCUGUCCUCACGCCCUGUGGCGCAUCCGGGACUCAUGCCGAGUGUGACUUGUGUGGGGCUCUACGCCACUGCAGUCCGUACCCUCCCGCUGAGCAGAAUGCCACAUUUGAUGUUCUGCCAGAAGGUUCCUGACAGGGCCGCGAAUAGAAGUAGUCGGUGUUUCUGCCCCUUCCAGAAUGGAAAUAGCACUCAGCUUCCUUCCUUGAAAAUCGACUUGCUGAGUCGAUUUCGAUCGUCGGUGAUGCAGCAAACCGAGGAGCUGGGGAUUUUCAAGACGUCAUUGGCCAACCGUCACAGGUGGCCUUGGAAUCUUGCCCUUGGUGGUCUAACAGCAGCGCGUGUUCUUCUCAGGGGGCGGGGCUUUUCCAGUUCAUUUGCUUGUGACUCCGGUUUUACCUGUGCGUUUUGCCUUCAUACCUGCACACUCUGUCAACUCUCGUCAUCUUGGCUCAGAGUCGCAGCUGUUGAAUUUGACCUGGGUCGGAAAUUAGGUCUCCCGGAGGAUCGCCUUUUAUUGUGGCGGGGGGAUGGCAGCACGCUGGGGAGACAUCCCGGGGAGGAAGGAGCUCUGUUUGUCUCUGAAGGGAUGUCAGAGCCCCGGGUACUCACAUCCUGUUGUCACAGCCCCGAGAGGUUCGGUGACAGCAGAGGUCACCCCCGCUUCUUCGGAGCUGCAUUCUAAGUCCCUUGCGGCUGCACGUAGCACCGUCAGGGCUCUCAGAUGGGGACAGGGAGGCAGAGAGGUGAAACGACUCGUCUGAGGUCCCCCGGCUAGUGGGUGAACGAGCGACGAUUACAAUUCAGACCUGUGACGACCGUGUUCCCCCAGCUGCUGCGGUCGCAUCCAUUUCUUAGCAACGCCAUUAGGUCUUGGAUGUCCUCAGAAACUAGCUGCUCUGCGUUUCCAUCGUGAUGGUGGUGCGAACAGUUAUCCGUAGUCGGUGUUCUACGUGGCAAGGAUGGGGGACACAACACCACCUUUGGGGUUUCCUGGGGCCCGCUCUUUUUCGGUGGCCCUCCACUCCCCUCCUAGGUGCAGAGUCAGGCCUCCUGCUUCACCUGUUGCCUCCUAGUUGUUGGCCAUCAGAGCCCUGCAGUUUUACAGGGCGGAGGCCAUGACCUUGGAGAGCUCGUUGAAAACAAACUCUCAGAGCCCCUGCGCUCCAGUCCUUUUCGGGACAGGGAGGAGGGGAGGAGGGCCAUGAAAGGAAAGCCGUGUGCGUCUGCAGUGCGGCUUCAGUCUUAAGCAGCAGCUGGCAUGUUCUACCUGGCCUGUCUGCACCCCCCCCCCCCCACCCCCGCCCCCACCCCCGCCGCUGCCCCCCCACCAGGCAGGGAAGCCGGCCAAUGGCAGUGCUGAGUCUCCAGGGACGACCCUGACUGAGUCGGGCUCCCAGGACUUCCCGCAAGAGGAGCGAAGUCCUCCCGCGCUGCCGUCAGGGGUGAUGAGCUCGGUGGUCUGAGCCUGGAGGUGAGGCCAGCACCGUAGCCAAGCGACCACAGCCGUUAGCAGCGGAAGGCGGUGGCCUCCUGAGCCUUCUCUUCCCCGGGUCAGUCCCUAUUUCCUGGAGCCCUUGCGAGGGCCCCCGAAGCCCCUGGCUCUUGGCCAGGCUACUAAAGUGUUGCACUGCUGAAUGCUCUUGAAUCUGCUGUGCCCUCUUUUUGUUGAAACCAGCAGCGAGUAAUCCUAAGACGCGUCCAUGCAACAGCUCUCCGCUUAGUGAAGCGUCAAAAGCUGGCCUGGGCCAGUGUGGGCGGGGCCUACAGCACAGCCAUAGGGUCAUGCUGUUUCUGUCACUCCUCGUCCUGAUCUCUGCUGUCCUCUGCAGCCGUCACAAGGGCUAAGCCUUUGGAUGAGCCCCCGUGGUUUCUCCUCAUAAACGCAAUGACCUACCUGUGACUCUGGUCUAACCCCAGGUUGAGAAACAAAACAAAAGCAAGUGACCCCAGCAGCUACUUUGCGCCCCUCCUUCUCCUUCAGGCAUCUAAACAUAUUUAAAUAUAUUUAGUAUUCUGCCCUGUGCCUUGCCCAAGGGAGGGAGAAGUUUCUAGCAAUUAUGGCUUUCUGUUUGCUGCCUGGUGCUUUUACUACCAUUUCUUCUUUUUUCUCUCUCUCUUUUUUUAACCCAAAUUACAUUUGUUUGGUGGAUAUUGUCAAGUAUGUAUUUAUUGCGUUUUACAAACAUGAGUAUAUAUAUAUGUAUGUAUAUGUAUAAAACCAAACUUCUAUAUAAAAAGUCAAGGCAUGUAUACUAGAUAUUUUAAAGAGUUAUUUAUCAAGGGGAAAAGAUGUGUGUUAUACAGUAAACAGAGUCUAUAUUUUAUAUAUAAUGUAGAUAGCAAAAAAUAGCUUAUAAAUUAUAGAAGGUUUUGGUUUUCUUUUUUUAUUAUUAUUAAAGGCAAAAAGAAAAAGGAAAAAAAAAAAGGACAAUGAAUGCAACUGUUUGUAGUGUUUUUAAGGCCAAACUUACCGUGGGAGGAGACGGUCCCUGCGGUGGGGGGGGAGGGGGGGCAGGGCGGUCCUUGGGCCAUGCAGUCUGAGCUCCAGACCCAGGAGCUGAUAGAUGCCCACUGUUGCUGCUGCAAGACUCAGGGGACCGUGGUUAGCAUCGCUCAGCCAGCUGGCAUGUGCCACCUUACACAUGGCCUUUUGCUGCCCUCCCCGACCUGCAUUGGUGGGAUAAGGAAAUGAAAGUAGCCAAUAAAGAUUGAAGAGAAGCUACAA